rnacentral:lncRNA from 1 species
UCGAAAUACGUCGGCAAGAUUGCAGCAGACGAAAAUUGGACGAGAAAAUAAUCUUCUUAAAAAACCCACCACCCUCCCAAUGUAAAUUAAUUUUGUGUUACAUGUGUAUUUGUUCUGAAUGGAAGUAAGAAACCAGAUACUGCUUUUAAGUUUAUAUUUCAGCUUAUUUCUGCUAAUGGUACGGAGAUGGGAGAGUAGGAGACAACUAGUGAACAUAAUGUAGAUGUAAAAGUGGACAUUGGCAGAGCACAUUUGGCACAUUUCGCUGCGCUGGAUUUAACAUUCAUAUAUUCAGUGAACAGUAAUGAUAGCCUCUGAUUACCAGGGCUCAUCAGUCAACUUCUCGUACCAGACAUAUUACUUAAAUAUAUUUAUAUUAGUGGUUUGCCAUAAUUUGCGGUAGCCACAUUAUAAUUUACAUAUAUAUUAAAUACAGACAUUGAUAAAUAUAUUUCAGAG